AGGCCUGCAAAAUGGGGACAGCGGGUGGGUAGGUGGAUGGGUGCAAUCCCGGUCUGUCGCUCUCCCGUUCCAAUGGAUCCAGAGUCCAGACCUCAGGCCUCUCCAAAAUAAACCAGGACUCCUAAUUCCUAGCAGGCAUCCCAAAGACAAGCAGCACACAGUUCCGGGUGGCUAGUUGACUGACAGCAGCAGCGGUCCAACGGGAAAGAAAAGAGAUUCGGGAGGAGAAAUCAGGAAGCGGCCAGGCUAUUGAGCCUGGACGGACGGGAAUCGGGUAAGACAGAAAUCAUGCAAGAUUCAACAGAGAGCUCAGCAGAGGGCAUGGCAAGCCAUCUC